GAGCACGAAGGUUGGCUAAUCCUGGUCGGACAUCAGGAGGUUAGUGCAAUGGCAUAAGCCAGCUUGACUGCGAGCGUGACGGCGCGAGCAGGUGCGAAAGCAGGUCAUAGUGAUCCGGUGGUUCUGAAUGGAAGGGCCAUCGCUCAACGGAUAAAAGGUACUCCGGGGAUAACAGGCUGAUACCGCCCAAGAGUUCAUAUCGACGGCGGUGUUUGGCACCUCGAUGUCGGCUCAUCACAUCCUGGGGCUGAAGUAGGUCCCAAGGGUAUGGCUGUUCGCCAUUUAAAGUGGUACGCGAGCUGGGUUUAGAACGUCGUGAGACAGUUCGGUCCCUAUCUGCCGUGGGCGCUGGAGAACUGAGGGGGGCUGCUCCUAGUACGAGAGGACCGGAGUGGACGCAUCACUGGUGUUCGGGUUGUCAUGCCAAUGGCACUGCCCGGUAGCUAAAUGCGGAAGAGAUAAGUGCUGAAAGCAUCUAAGCACGAAACUUGCCCCGAGAUGAGUUCUCCCUGAGACUU
rnacentral:rRNA from 1 species